rnacentral:rRNA from 1 species
AUUGAACGCUGGCGGCAGGCUUAACACAUGCAAGUCGAGCGGGGAAGAGUAGCUUGCUACUUAACCUAGCGGCGGACGGGUGAGUAAUGCUUAGGAAUCUGCCUAUUAGUGGGGGACAACAUCUCGAAAGGGAUGCUAAUACCGCAUACGUCCUACGGGAGAAAGCAGGGGACCUUCGGGCCUUGCGCUAAUAGAUGAGCCUAAGUCGGAUUAGCUAGUUGGUGGGGUAAAGGCCUACCAAGGCGACGAUCUGUAGCGGGUCUGAGAGGAUGAUCCGCCACACUGGGACUGAGACACGGCCCAGACUCCUACGGGAGGCAGCAGUGGGGAAUAUUGGACAAUGGGGGGAACCCUGAUCCAGCCAUGCCGCGUGUGUGAAGAAGGCCUUUUGGUUGUAAAGCACUUUAAGCGAGGAGGAGGCUACCGAGAUUAAUACUCUUGGAUAGUGGACGUUACUCGCAGAAUAAGCACCGGCUAACUCUGUGCCAGCUGCCGCUGUAAGAC